UACGAAGGGGGCUAGCGUUGCUCGGAAUGACUGGGCGUAAAGGGAGUGUAGGUGGUGUACGGUAAGUCAGAUGUGAAAGCCCUGGGCUUAACCCGGGAAGUGCAUUUGAUACUGCGUUGCUAGAGUGCGAGAGAGGAAAGUGGAAUUCCAAGUGUAGGGGUGAAAUCCGUAGAUAUUUGGAGGAAUACCGAUGGCGUAGGCACUUCUGGCUUCGUAACUGACACUGAGACUCGAAAGCGUGGGU
rnacentral:rRNA from 1 species